rnacentral:lncRNA from 1 species
UGACUGGAGUUGAGACCUGGGCUCUUCGGAUCUAUAAAACAAUGUAAUCCAGAGUGAAGGUGAACCUAUUAUAAACAAUUAUACAGAAAAACAAUAAAUAUUUUGUAAGAAAAGUUAUGUAGAAAGGACUGUAUAAUGGGGACAAAAGAAUUUUUUGUAUGUAGUUAAGGUUAAACAAUAUUUGUUGUGUGGGC